rnacentral:rRNA from 1 species
UACGGAGGGCGCAAGCGUUGUUCGGAAUUACUGGGCGUAAAGCGCGUGUAGGUGGUUCGGAAAGUCGGAUGUGAAAGUCCGGAGCUCAACUCCGGAAGUGCAUCCGAUACUCUCGAGCUCGAGUCUCGGAGAGGAAGGCAGAAUUCCCAAUGUAGGGGUGAAAUCCGUAGAUAUUGGGAGGAAUACCGGUGGCGAAGGCGGCCUUCUGGACGAUGACUGACACUGAGACGCGAAAGCGUGGGGAGCAAACAGG